rnacentral:rRNA from 1 species
GAUGAACGCUAGCGGCAGGCUUAACACACGCAAGUCGAGGGGCAGCAUAAAUAGUAGCAAUACUAUUGGUGGCGACCGGCGGACGGGUGCGUAACGCGUAUACAACCUUCCCUAAACAGGGGGAUAAUCUGGAGAAAUUCGGUCUAAUACCACAUAACAUCAGAGCAGGCAUCUGUUUUGGUUAAAAUUUCCGGAGGUGUAGGAUGGGUAUGCGUAGCAUUAGCUAGUUGGUGAGGUAACGGCUCACCAAGGCGACGAUGCUUAGGGGGACUGAGAGGUUAACCCCCCACACGGGUACUGCGACACGUACCAGACUCCUACGGGAGGCAGCAGUGAGGAAUAUUGGUCAAUGGGCGGAAGCUUGAACCAGCCAUGCCGCGUGCAGGAUGACGGCUCUAUGAGUUGUAAACUGCUUUUGUACGAGGGUAAAGUGGGCUACGUGUAGCCUUUUGAAAUUAUCGUACGAAUAAGGAUCGGCUAACUCCGUGCCAGCCGCCGCAGUAA